GAUGAACGCUGGCGGCGUGCCUAAUACAUGCAAGUCGAGCGAACAGACGAGGAGCUUGCUCCUCUGACGUUAGCAGCGGACGGGUGAGUAACACGUGGAUAACCUACCUAUAAGACUGGGAUAACUUCGGGAAACCGGAGCUAAUACCGGAUAAUAUAUUGAACCGCAUGGUUCAAUAGUGAAAGACGGUUUUGCUGUCACUUAUAGAUGGAUCCGCGCCGCAUUAGCUAGUUGGUAAGGUAACGGCUUACCAAGGCUACGAUGCGUAGCCGACCUGAGAGGGUGAUCGGCCACACUGGAACUGAGACACGGUCCAGACUCCUACGGGAGGCAGCAGUAGGGAAUCUUCCGCAAUGGGCGAAAGCCUGACGGAGCAACGCCGCGUGAGUGAUGAAGGUCUUCGGAUCGUAAAACUCUGUUAUUAGGGAAGAACAAAUGUGUAAGUAACUAUGCACGUCUUGACGGUACCUAAUCAGAAAGCCACGGCUAACUACGUG
rnacentral:rRNA from 1 species